UUACCUGCUGCAUGUAAGUCGCUCUGGAUAAGAGCGUCUGCUAAAUGAUUGAAA
rfam:Salmo salar isolate Sally breed double haploid chromosome ssa21, whole genome shotgun sequence.